rnacentral:tRNA from 1 species
GUUUAAUUAGUUUAAUUUAUUAAAAUAAUAAAUUGUGGAUUUAUAGAUGAAGAAUUCAUUAAACA